rnacentral:snRNA from 1 species
GCUGCGACAUCUGUCACCCCAUUGAUCGACAGGGUAGAUUUGGCUGAUCUGGCUGGCUAGGCCGGGAUCAC